UACGUAGGUGGCAAGCGUUGUCCGGAUUUACUGGGCGUAAAGGGCGUGCAGGCGGUUUGUUAAGUCUAGGGUGAAAGCUCCCGGCUCAACUGGGAGAGGUCCUUGGAUACUGGCAGACUUGAGGAGAGUAGAGGAGAGUGGAAUUCCCGGUGUAGUGGUGAUAUGCGUAGAUAUCGGGAGGAACACCAGUGGCGAAGGCGGCUCUCUGGGCUCUACCUGACGCUGAGACGCGAAAGCUAGGGGAGCAAACAGG
rnacentral:rRNA from 1 species